rnacentral:rRNA from 1 species
AUGAAGACCUGUAUGAAUGGCUAGACGAGGGCUUGACUGUCUCCUUUUUCAUGUCAAUGAAAUUGAUCUCCCCGUGCAGAAGCGGGGAUUCUACCAUAAGACGAGAAGACCCUAUGGAGCUUUAGACACCAAGGAAGACCAUGUCACCAACCCUCUAAUACGAGACCAAACAAGUGGUUCACCUUCCCUAAUGUC